GUCUCAUUCAAGGACUUGGAUCAGACAGCAGAGUAUGGAAUCUAUUGCCAAUGCCUGGCGGACAAGCCCAGAUCGGGCCUUAAAGUGGGAGGGAGGGUAGCACUCUUCAGAAGGACGGGGAAUAUAUUAGUGCAGGGCUUAAACUCACAAGCUGAAGAGGGAUUUGCCUGCCCCACCCACUGAGCCACCAGGACCCCAUUGUUAAUGUCUCCUUAUGCACCUGCAGAAGUACCUGUUUAAGGAAACAUGAAUGUAGAAGAAUGUUGACACUAUCCACCUGGGAAAAAAACAAAACAAAACAAAACAAACAAAAAAAACACACACAAAGGAAAAGUUGCCACCAGAAGAAGGAAAGCUCAUCUGCAUUUUGUGUAGUAAUCCUGUGGGAUUCCUUUCAAUGAACAGCAAACAGAAUUGGAGAAGAAAAGAAACCAGAAAAUCCAGAAAAGUUGUUAACAAACUGAGAAAAGCAGAAGAGGAAAAUAGAAUCAGAACUAUAAAGCAGAAAAAAGAACUUGGUUUGGUCUGGGGAUUUGAAACCCGAGAUUUAAGUUUUGACUCCAAAAUAUUGUUUAUAUCUUCCAAAUUCGGCGCAAACGGAGCUGUACCUGUGUC